AAUCAGCACCACUCCUUCCUCCCAAACCCUACCGUCUGAAACAAACACCAUCACUGGGCCCCAAUCAACCCUUAAACCAGUCUGAAACCAACCCCUUCCCUAGGCCCCAAUCAACCCUUAAACCAGUCUGAAACCAACCCCUUCCCUAUGCCCCAAUCAACCCUUAAACCAGUCUGAAACCAACCCCUUUCCUAGCCCCCAAUCAACCCACUU
rnacentral:lncRNA from 1 species